rnacentral:sRNA from 1 species
UUCCUGUUGCCGCGAUCCGGGCCGGGAGCUGCGGGCGCCCGGGCGCCCGAGGCUUCCCGGUACGCUCCGCCAGGCUCACCCAAUACACCUCUCCAAGUUCAUGUCCUGUGUCUCACCUUGGGCUACUUCAUCUUCGACUUGGGCUGGUGCGUCUACUUUCAGUCUGAGGGUGCCUUGAUGCUGGCUCAUCACACAUUGAGUAUCUUGGGCAUUAUCAUGGCCCUUGUGCUUGGGGAGUCUGGCACAGAGGUCAAUGCGGUCCUCUUUGGAAGUGAGCUUACCAACCCCUUGCUACAGAUGCGCUGGUUUCUCCGGGAAACAGGGCACUAUCACAGUUUCACUGGAGAUGUAGUGGACUUCCUCUUUGUGGCUCUGUUCACAGGAGUGAGGAUUGGUGUGGGAGCUUGCCUCCUUUUCUGUGAAAUGGUCUCCCCCACGCCUAAGUGGUUUGUGAAGGCUGGGGGAGUAGCGAUGUAUGCUGUGUCUUGGUGUUUCAUGUUUAGCAUCUGGCGCUUUGCAUGGAGGAAGAGCAUCAAGAAGUACCAUGCUUGGAGAAGCAGGCGGAGUGAGGAAUGGCAGCUGAAACACAACGGACAUCUCAAAAUACACUAGCCAAGGCUUGUUCCAGAUUAUGGAUUGGGUUAAGUCAGCCAUGGGAACCAGGUUGGAAAUAUGACUGUUACAUAAUUAUACUUAUAACAAACUUAGGUUUCAAGAAAGGGCUAAAUGUAUUGAUCAAUUUGGUCAGUCUUCAAGCCGAGCAUAUACCAGUAUUAAAACACUAACUUCUACAGUAGCACAGUUGUAGAAAGUGAGAAUACUCCAUGGUAGUUGGGAAUAAGUCAGAACUGUGAAGUGAGUACAACUGGCAUUUGUUUUCAUUUGUGGUGACCCUGGGUCCUCCUGUCCCUGGGAGGUUUGAUGUUCAGGCAGUUUAGAAAGGAACUCGAAAAAGAUUAGUGCUAUUUCUUGUUCCUUUGAGAAGUAACUCUUUCAAUAAACACUUAUUUCUGCUUUCCAUAUAGCAAUUUAUCUAAGUUUACCCCAUUUACUAUAAAGUGAGGGGCUUUCAGGAAGAGACACGCCUUUGACAUUCUGAACAUUAGAUCGGGGAAUUGGGUCGCUUAAACAGAGGGGCAUAGGAGGGUGAGAGUGAAACUGUGGCAGUGAAGGGGAGGGCUACUUACUGAACCUCCUAUACCAACUGUGCCAGAGGUGCCCAAGACCACUGCCAGGUUCUGUAAUUCUCUGGGAAGACUCAGUGGACUCAGCAUAUAGUCUUACUUAUAGUUUUGAUUUAUUAUAGUGAAAAGAUACAAAGAAAAAUCGGUAAAAGGAAAAGGCACCUGAGACAAAGUCUAGGGUAAAGCAAGCGCAAGUUUCCAGAGUCCUCUCCCAAUGGAAUCACACAGGAUGCACUUAAUUCCCCUAGCAGUGAUUUGUUACGACAUGUGAAUGAGUUGUCUACUGGACAAGGUCACUACAGACUCAGUGCCCAAAGUUUUUACUGAGGACAGGUCAUCUAGGCAGCCUUUCCCUGGCAGAUAGCAAAAUUCAAGACUCUCAAAAGGAAAGCAGGUGUUCAGCAUAAGCCAUAUUGUUUGCACAAGCAGUUCAGACACAGUAAGCCAGUCUUAUCAGUUAAUUGUGGGAGCCCCUCCAAAAUCUAAGUUCCCAAAUGCCGGCCAGUGGCCAACCCUGUAAUCAGGCCUCUCCAAGGAUAGCAGUUUAGGCCUGCUAUGUUAACUCUUUUCUGCACAAAACCUAUAGAGUUAGGGCUUUGGAUCUGAGACGAAUGAAGUGUGGGUAGAUUUACUGAGUCCUGUUAUAUGGGUUCUGCCCUACCAGGAAAACUAUGCCAGUUCUCAGGGCUUUUGUGCAUUAAUCUCCUAGGCAUUUGAGGCUAUGACUAAAUUCCAUAGGGAUUUAUCAUGUGGAUUCCACUGUGCUUGAGAUGGCAGUUUAGAUUUCAGCUUUGCUGUACAUAUUGCAAACUAGAGCCAAAGACUUUAAAGUGUGUACUGGCCUCAGGGGGAUGAGGUUAAUUUUUUUUUUUCAUUUUAGAUACAUUCCCUUUUAGUACUCCUCCUACUUUUCUUAUUUUUACUAAAAAGGUACCACUCUAUGAACAAACUAAUAAAACAAGGCCAGUCUUGGAAGGAAAAAAAUAAUAAUUCUUAGUGUGACAGUCUCCAAGAGAAGCAAGAAUAUAAGCUUAGAACAAGGGGUUAAGAAUCCAGAAUUCCUGGGUUCUUUUAACUAAUUUUGCUACUCACUUGCCACUUUGGAGAGCUACUCAUUCACUUUGGAUAGGUUACUUGUUUCUUCUUUGCCUGAGUUUAAACCUAUUGUGAAUGAAUGAAAUACCCUGUAGUAUAUUUCAUAAAUACAUUAUGCGGCAUUUUAUUAAUGGAGGUCUUUAAUGUAGGGCUUUUAUGGAAAUAUGAAGUAUUUAUGUAUUUAUUGAUUAUUUAUUUUUACCAUGUUAUUGAAGUCAAUGGUGUUUGAUUAGCUCAGUGGGUGAGCAAGCAUAUGGUGCUACUGGAGUCAAGGCUGGUCAGUAGGAAGCAUCAGUCCAUUCCAUGGCCACUGGUAAUCUAACGUAAUGAAUGGUGUUUUUUUUGUUGUUGUUGUUGUUGUUGUUGUUGUUUGAGACAGAGUCUUGCUCUGUCGCCCAGGCUGGAGUGCAGUGGUGUGAUCUCAACUCGCUGCAACCUCCGCCUUCUGUGUUCAAGUGAUUCUCCUGCCUCAGCCUCCCGAGUAGCUGGGACUACAGGCGUGUGCCACCAUGCCUGGCUACUUUUUGUAUUUUUAGUAGAGACAGGGUUUCACCAAGUUGGCCAGGCUGGUCUUGAACUCCUGACUUCAUGACCCACCCGCCUCGGCCUCCCAAAGUGCUGGGAUUACAGGUGUGAGCCACCGUGCCCAGCCAUGAGCGGUCUUGAAAAUGGAAAACGGUCUUGGCCACAGAAACCAGGCAUGAGGGAGUGGUUGGAAUGGUAUAAAGUCAUCACUGUUAAGGAAACAGUAACUUUAAAUGCAUGUUAACAGUGGGUCUUUAAAAAUGAAUGUCAUUUGGUUAAAGAGUUUUGCUGGGCAUUGAGAUAAUCUGACAGCAUCUCCACUUCCUGUUUUUUUUCUUAAUCUCCACUUUUUUUUUUCUAUGAUGAGCGCCCCUAAAAUGCUGGUAAGCGUCUUUCCAACAAAAUUGUGGUCAAAGUAGGAUGCUGAGGAAUGCUGAUUUUAGCAAAAGCUUGUAGAAAAGAGUGGCUUGGCACAUGAGCUUAAAAAAGAGAAAAAAAGCUGGCUCUUGAAUUUUGGCACAGUGCAACCUGUUCCAUACCAGACAAAUGAACAGGCUUAAUCUGGUACCAAUUCUUUUUCUCUCUUACUCCUCAGAAGUGAAGGGACUGCAGAUCUUGUUGUUUUGGGGACACUUUCAUGGAACUGUAUGUAGGUUUUUUUGAAUGGUGAGAAAUAUGAAUAAUUGGUAAGGGGAAGGGAAUCCCUCAUUUCAGCUUUUCUUGAUGUUGUUACUAAUAACUAUGAAAAAACUUCUGAGAGAACAAUGUGAACUGAAGAUGACUCAGCAGUUAAGACAAUGCUAAGUUCUGAAACCACAGGUAAAUGAAGGGCUAAUUAAUGUGUGGUAUACUCGGACAAAAUGAAGUACUCAUUUGCACUGGAUUACUGUGUAAUGAUAACGAACACUGUUCAAGAACGAUUUAUAUUUCCAUAAGAUUUGUACUAAAUUUUAUAAAAGUAAAACAACUUUUUAU